GGCAGCGGGGCUGGGCUCCGGCCGGGAGUCAGACGAGGGAGCGCGCGCGCGCUCCCGGACAGUUCUCCGCAGCCGCUCGCCCGAGCCUUCUACUUGGCCAACACAGCUGCCUCUACCACCUCGCGUGCCCGGUUCGUGGGCUUUCAGCUCUGAGGAAGAAACCACCAUUCAAGUUGGAGUGCGGUUAACAUCAAAAGGAGAACGGUGAGAAUGGAGUCUCCCCAAAAUUACUCUGAGCAUCACAGCUGCGUUAGAACAACGGUCAGCAUGCAUACAAAAGGACCUAAACCACAUUCUCCUCGUCCCGGCCGGCCGUCACCCUAGAGCAAGCACAGUUCUUCCUUCAGCUCCUCUCCUGCUCACCAUGGCUCAGCUGAAAUCAUUGCCUAUGAGAUAACCACUCACGGUUUCCCAUCACCACAGUGUUCUCAUGGCCUGCCAAACGAGAACUUGCAGGCCUAGCAUGUAAAGGGACCAGGGAAGGAGGCAGAGUGGGGCCUGCUGUUGAGGCUGGCUGCUUCUGUGUUCUCUGCCUGUGCCAGGCUGCGUAUGGUCUUCACUUGCCGUCUUUGAACUGAGAGAACCUCAGCUUUACCAAGCAUGUCCUGAAGAUGAAGAUACUCUCAGCCUAACGUCUCCAAGCAAAUAUUGAUUCAGCAGUAUCCCCAGGCAAAGCCACACCAUAUAUCAGUGAACAGAGAAACAACUGCCCUUCUCCGGGCCCCUGUCUGAGAAGCUGGAGCAUCAGCCCUGGAGCUCUCCGGAGCAGUUUCCUUGCUCACUGUCCCCAGCUGAACACAGCCGCAUGCAGAGGUCCAAAGCACGUAAACAGGAUACCCACCCUGCAUUAUCUUAUAUUUUAAGUCAAUAUGAAGAUGGACAUUCUACCCCUGAGACCAAUUUCGAUCAAAUACUUUUGUCAAUAAAAAGAUACUAAUGUC
rnacentral:lncRNA from 1 species